rnacentral:rRNA from 1 species
UACGAGGGGGGCAAGUGUUGUUCGGAAUCACUGGGCGUAAAGGGCUCGUAGGCGGUUUGUCGCGUCGGGAGUGAAAACCCAGGGCUUAACCCUGGGCUGGCUUCCGAUACGGGCAGACUAGAGGUAUGCAGGGGAGAACGGAAUCCCUGGUGUAGCGGUGAAAUGCGCAGAUAUCAGGAGGAACACCGGUGGCGAAGGCGGUUCUCUGGGCAUUACCUGACGCUGAGGAGCGAAAGUGUGGAGAGCGAACAGG